GACGAACCGUCCAAACGUUGUUCGGAAUCACUGGGCUUAAAGGGCGCGUAGGCGGGCUGCCAAGUCAGGGGUGAAAUCCCACGGCUCAACCGUGGAAGUGCCUCUGAUACUGGCGGCCUCGAGGGAGGUAGGGGCGUGCGGAACUUCCGGUGGAGCGGUGAAAUGCGUAGAUAUCGGAAGGAACACCGGUGGCGAAAGCGGCGCGCUGGACCUCUACUGACGCUGAGGCGCGAAAGUGUGGGGAGCGAACAGG
rnacentral:rRNA from 1 species